UUCGCAAUGCCCGAAAGGGUGACGAAGCGACGCCGCGUGUGGGAAGAAGGCCUUCGGGUUGUAAACCACUGUCGGGAGUUAAGAAAUGCAAGGAUAUUAAUAGUGUCUUUGUUUGACUAAGGCUCCGGAGGAAGCCACGGCUAACUCUGUGCCAGCAGCCGCGGUAAUACAGAGGCGGCAAGCGUUGUUCGGAAUUAUUGGGCGUAAAGAGCACGUAGGCGGCUAUGUAAGUCGGUUGUGAAAGCCUUCCGCUCAACGGAAGAACAGCAUCCGAUGCUACAUGGCUUGAGUGCGGGAGGGGAGAGUGGAACUUCUGGUGGAGCGGUGAAAUGCGUAGAUAUCAGAAGGAACGCCGGCGGCGAAAGCGGCUCUCUGGCCCAUAACUGACGCUGAGUGUGCGAAAGCUAGGGGAGCAAACGGGAUUAGAUACCCCGGUAGUCCUAGCCGUAAACGAUGGGCACUAAGUAGAGGGGUUUU
rnacentral:rRNA from 1 species